rnacentral:rRNA from 1 species
GUCUGUAUGAAGUUAUAUGGAGUCUGACCUGCCCGUUGAAGAAAUUUGAAAGGCCGCGGUAUAUUAACUGUGCAAAGGUAGCAUAAUCAUUAGUCUUUUAAUUGGAGGCUUGUAUGAAGGGUCUGACAAAGGAAAAGCUGUCUUUAUUUUUAUUUUUGAAAUUAACUUUUAAGUGAAAAGGCUUAAAUAAAUUUAAGGGACGAUAAGACCCUAUAAAUCUUUAUAUUAUGAUAGUUAACUUAAAAAUUAUUAAAUUUGUUUAGGUUUUGAGUUAAACAUAUAAUAUUUUGUUGGGGUGACAAGAAUAUAAAAUUAACUGUUCUUUAAUAAAACAGAGUUAUUUGUUAAAAUUAUAGAUCCUUUUUAAAGAUUAAAAGUUUAAGUUACUUUAGGGAUAACAGCGUUAUUUUUCUUGAGAGUUCUUAUCGAAAGAAAAGUUUGCGACCUCGAUGUUGAAUUAAAAUUUCUCUAUGGUGAAGAAGUUAUAGAAGUAAGUCUGUUCGACUUUU